rnacentral:sRNA from 1 species
UCAAUCAUCUCUUGCAUACUUUCAUAUACAUAUUAUCGUGCUUGUUGUUAAGCAAAACAUGGCAUCCUCAAAGGCUUUUCUUCUUCUUGGUCUUGUCUUUGCUGUUCUCCUCAUCUCCUCUGAGGUCUCAGCUACUCCAACUCGUGAGUUUCUCACUUUCUUAACUAAAUCAUAUAUAUUAAAUUAGUAAUUGUUUCUUUCCAGUAACGAUUUGUGAAUUUAGGCACAUUUUAAUUAAGGUGCACUGGUCGUGAAAAUGAUUAUGCUUCGAACUCUUUUUCUGCAUGUAGGGUUAGUGGUUGUUGCACUUGCGUGACUUAAUUUGCACCUUAUUAAAUACAAACCGAUCUAUGAUUGUUAUAAGUUAUGUAUAUGUUUUUGCUUUAUAUAUAAAAUUUUUGUUUGUUCUCUCAGAGGAGAGUAUAGUCAACGGUGAUGGCCACGGACAUGGAGGGUAUGGCCACGGACAUGGAGGUUAUGGACACGGACAUGGAGGGCAUAGCCACGGACAUGGAGGAUAUGGCCAUGGACAUGGAGGGUAUGGCCACGGCCACCACGGCAAAGGGGGGCCUGGUGCUGCUGAGACUGAAAUCGAGAAUUAGAUAACCUAUUAGUUUCUGUGACUUACGUUGCAGUUGUGUUGUAAGGGUAGUAGUACGAAAUAAAGUUGUUUGGUUGAGUAAUCUAUAUGAAAUAUCAAUCAUAGACUCGUCUUAAGCUUGUUCUCGUGUUCUCUGUAAUGUACGCAUUGGAAUGUGUUCUCUUGUUAUGUGAUAAAAUGUGAUGUAACUUUCUCAAUACAUAUAUUAUGUAAAAAAAUGUUUAGUAUGGCUUGACUCCUUAAAAUGGAGGGGGAGCACAUCCUCACAACAAAUGAGAUUUUGACACUUGUUAAAAUAACUUUACUUUUUCCUAAUAUUAAUCGAGUUCAUAUAUGACUCAUUUGUUUUGUGCGAUCACAUUUGGUUAAUGAAUUGUGCACCAAAUCUAAUAGGAUAUCGAUCCUCUGCUAUAAUUUUAGUCCCCUAAUAGGAUGGAUCGUACUUUGGAGCACAUUCGGUAGUUCCUACUCUCACUCAAAAAUACAUAUUGGUUGGUCCAUUAAAAUGCAAAUAUCACCUCUCAUAUCAUUAUGCGAACAUUGGGAACAAGAGUAGUGUUUCCACCGUUGGCAAGGGAUUGGAAGAUCUAGCUUGAUGGAAAAAUAAGGAGUAAAACUUAUAGAAGCAUGCAUGUCGUGUAUGUAUUGACGAUACUAAUUUGGCAAUUUCUAGUUGGUGAAUUAAGAAAACAUUUUUAAUCUAUAUAUGUAAAGUAAAAUAUCGUUGUAGUUAAAUUUUAAAAUAAUUCAUCUAAGAAAUUUGUGGUCAAUUUGUGAUUGUAGGGGUCUAAGAGAUUUGUGGUCACUUACCGUUGGAUGUAAAUUCAACGGUUCACUCACUCUUGCACUCAUUUUAAGAAACUUUUUUGAACCGUUGGAUGUUACAUCCAAAGGUGGGUGACCACAGUUUCAUGAACCCUUGUGAUCCAAGAGAUCGAGACUAUUGAUAAGAUAUACAAAUGCAUGAACUAAUUUAGUCAAAUUGAUAACUCGACGACUAAAGUGGCCGAUGAGUUAAAACAAAAGAACCAUUUUAACAUUUAAACCGAAAAAAACAUUUUGAUUAUGUGGGCUGCUUUCGCAAGAGAUGAAGAAAACCUCUUUUUCUACAACCUAGUGAUUUAUAAUAAAAUUUUAUUUAUCUUACUAUUUCUAUUGCAUGCUGCCAUAAGCCUUAUAUUUUUAUAUUGUAAUAGAGUGAAACGCGUCACUCAAUGACUUUCAGUAUGGGCAGUAGCCAAAAAUAUUAGAAUUUAAUUUAUGCAUAUGCUCAGUGCUCAAAUUUAUGGAUGAAGCCACGUGAAGAUUUUGUUAUAUAAAAACAAAAAUAAGCAAAAAAGAAAAAUGGAAGGCCACCCCACGUGAAAUGGUGAAGCAACGGCUACAAUUACAAAGCAAACCAUCAACAAAGAAAUAAAAAAUGCAAAAGGAAGCAUCCAAUGCAAAUUAUAAAAAAAAAGUAAUAGGAAACCGUGCGAAUGCCAGUCUUCAUUCUUAAUAGCUGCCAUGCCAAGUAUAUCAAUUUACGAUGCCUAAUACAUUAAUUAGCACUAAUCGAUAAUUUUUUGAUACUCUAACGAUAAUAUCGAUAAUUAGGAGUGUAUUCAAUUCAAAUUUUUAAUGAUUUUUAUAGAGUUUAAAGUUUGAAUGUAUUCAAUUUAAAUUUUUUAAGAGUUUAUAAAAGUCUAAUGAUAUUCAAUUGUGACUUUUAAAAAGUAGUUAAAGUAGUUAAAAGUUUGGUGGUAUUCAAAAAGUUAAUGAUUUUUUAAAAAGCUUAUUAAAUGAAUGACUUUUCUAUAAAAGUAUUUGAGCUAAUUGUUAACAGCAAAAGUCUUGUUAAUUUAUACUAGUGACUUUUAUAAGUAUUUAAGAAUUUUUCAACUCUAUGAAAGUUACUAAUUUAAAAAAAGUCUUUAUAAGUAUGAAUUAGAUACACCUAGUAUUGAAUUCAUAAUAUAUCAGGUAUUGAAAAUUUAUAUUCCGUAUCAGGCGGUAAGUAGCUAUAUAGCCAUAUUUUCGAGUAAAUAUUAUAUGAGCUUUGAAGAUAAUUAACAUUUAUUCUCUUUGUACUUUAGUAGUUGGGGUUGUAACUUGUAUCUGGUCCUGAUUUUGCAUAUCUAUUAUUUGGUAAAGUACUUCUGAAAAAGCAGAAAUCAUCAAAGUUUGUGGACAUGAGAGAGAGAUUACUGUGGCUGGAUUGUCAACAAAGUGUGAAUGGCUUUUCUUCAUGGUCCUUUGGCUUCAUCUUCUACCCUUCUGCGUUGGUCACAUUCAUGUAAUCUUAUAAAGGAAGCCACGUACCACAAAGGCUACCAAGGGCUGAGUUGGAAUCCCAUUCUAAGUAAGGAUUCUUAUGGUUUCAGAUGAUCUAGUUACAUGAGAACUAGGAACGGAGAACUUUCCCUCCUUUCAACCCGACUCUUUGGUAUUAAGAAUACUGAUUUUAAGAAUGAGUGAUUGCCCUUCUCCGACCCUUAUUGCCCAACCUAAAAGUAGACAGCUAAUACGAUCCACUUAUUGAUAACUAUUGUAGAUUAAUCUAUAUUAAAUUGACUUGUAUUAAUAUAACUUUAUACACAGUACUAGAUAAUAUAGUAGAGAGAUUCAGAAACUUUAAUAAUUGUGACCACAAAAGGAAGCAGUAUAGGUCCUACCUGUGCAUUUUUUCCUGCCUAAACCCUAAACACCUUUUGUUUUUGUGAUAAUCUAAACAUGCUAAAUUAAGAAUGAAAAUUAACAGUUAAAGGACUCUCACGAUCACUCUACAAUACUGCGACCUGAAUGCUGAAUCAGCAACUUAAGUUUCAGCCCAUUUUCCACAUACCUUGAAAAUAUCUCAUCCAAUUUCAUGCAACUAAUCAGACAAAAAUCAACUUCUUUUGACUUGAUCGAAAAAGACAGCUUAGGGCCCGUUUGAAAACCAUUUCAAUUUUAGUUUUUAGUUUUUUAGUUUUUUAGUUUUUUUUUGUGUUAGAGUAUACAAGAAAAAGAAGGAGAAUGAAAUUGAGUGAAGAUGAGAUUGAGAGAGAAGAUGAAAAGAGAGGAUAAGAGGAAGGAGUAACAAAAGUGAAAACAAAAACUAAAAACUGAAAUAUAUUUGAAAUUGUUUUCACUUUUGUUCCUCCUCCCUCCCUUAUCCUCCAUUCUCAUCAUCUCUCUCAUCUCAAUCCUCACUCCCACUCUCAUUUUUCUCUAACAUUCUAGCACAAAAAAUGAAAACCAAAAACUAAAAAUGAAAUGAUUAUCAAAUAGCCCUUACCUUUCGCGUUCCCACCUUUAAGAGAAGCCUACUUAAUACGUAGUCCAUCAAAAGCAGGAAAAAAAGAAAAACAUUGCUUGAUAAAGUCCAAAACCAAAAGAUUAAAAAUAGGGGUUGGGUUUGGCACUUUAUCCUUUAAUCAUACUUAUCUUCUGAUUUGAAAAAAAAAUCCCAAAUUCUUCUUUUCUCUCUCCUUAUCUUUCCAACCCCACUGAUAUCUCAGAAUAAAUAGGGAGAACCAAGCCACAUUAUACUCACUCAGCAAUCAUCUCUUGCAUACUUUCAUAUAUACAUUAUCGUGCUUGUUAAGCAAAACAUGGCAUCCUCAAAGGCUUUUCUUCUUCUUGGUCUUGCCUUUGCUGCUCUCCUCAUCUCCUCUGAGGUCUCAGCUACUCCAACUCGUGAGUUUCUCACUUUCUUAACUAAAUCAUAUAUAUUAAAUAGUAAUUGUAUCUUUCUUUCCAGUAACGAUUUGUGAGUUUAGGCUCAUUUUAAUUAAGGUGCACUGGUCGUGAAAAUGAUUAUGCUUCGAAUUUGUACUAGAUAUAUAUAGCAUUAGUGCUCUAAAAUAUAUUAAUUCUGAGAAUAUCUGGAUGUAAUUUACUCUUUCUGCAGGAAGGGCUAGUGGUUGUUGUACUUGCAUGGCUUAAUCUAUGAUGGUUAAGUGAUGUAUAUUUUAGAGACUAAUGCUAUUUGUAACACAUUUACUGACCAGAUUACUGAUCACCUUUCUAAUAUAGAUGGGCCCCACAUAUACUGGUGGGGCCACCUCUAUUAGAGAGAUGGUCAGUAAAUAUGGUCCAAAGUAGCAGCACUCUAUUUUUUUCUACAUAUUUUCUUGGGUGCUGAUUUUUCCACUCCUUUUUUGGUUUUUUAAUGCUUUUUACUUUAACAUAUAAGGAAGUGUAAGUUGACAAAAGAUGAGUGGGAACAUACAAUUUCCAACAAAAAGAAUGUAAGUGGAUAAAAGAAGAGUGAUAAAAUCAUCUCUCUCUCUCUCUCUCUCUCUCUCUUUUUCUAUAUAUAUAUAAAGUUUUUGUUUGUUCUAUCAGAGGAGAGUGCAGUCAACUAUGAUGACAAUUUUCUUGAUGAUCACGAGCAUGGGCAUGGACAUGACCAUAGGCACGUCCAUGGGCAUGGGCAUGACCACAGGCAUGGACGACAUGGCCAUGGCCACCAUGGCAAAGGGGGACCUGGUGCUGCUGAGACUGAAACCGAGAAUUAGAUAACUUGUUAGUUUCUGUACUUAUGUUGCAGGUGUAUCGUAAGGGUAGUAGUAUGCAAUAAAGUUGUAAUGGUUUGAGUAAUAUCUAUAAACUCUCGAUCAUAGGUUCGCCUUAAGCUUGUUCUUGUGUUCUCUGUCAUGUACGAAUUGGAUCACCUUGUUAUGUACUAAAAUGUGAUUUAACUUGUUGAAUACAUAUUAUGUCAAAAAUUUCUAGUAUGGCUUGGCUACUUAAAAUUGAGGAGGACAUCCUCACAACAAAUGAGAUUUUGAAACUUGUUAAACUUCAAAAGAAAAAAAGGUUAAGGCAAUUCCAAAGAAAAAAAUUUAAAGAAAUUUGCCAAGUUUCAAAAGUCUAUUUGUUUUGAAGACGAACUCCUCCUCAGUUUUAAGGAGUGUAAGUUUUUUCCUAAUAUUAAUGGAGUUUCAUAUAUGACUCAUUUGUUUUGUG